rnacentral:rRNA from 1 species
UGCUUUUAAGUAAAUAGCCGCAGUAUUUUGACUGUGCUAAGGUAGCAUAAUCAUUAGUCUCUUUAUUAGAGGCUGGUAUGAAUGGUGAGACGAGAAAAUAACUGUCUCUAAAAAAAUAAUUGAAUUUCAUUUCUUAGUGAAAAAGCUAAGAUGAUUUUGGAGGACGAUCAGACCCUUUGGAGCUUUACUUAAAUACCCUAUUAAAUUUAUAUUAAAUAAUUAAUAGGGUAUUUAAGUUUUGUUGGGGCGACAAGGAGUAAAAAAUAACACUCUUUUUUAUGAACAUAAAUAAAUGAAUAAUUGAUCCUUUGUGCGAGAUUAAAAGACUAAGUUACCCUAGGGAUAACAGCGUAAUCUUUUUAGAGAGCUCUUAUCGAUAAAAAGGUUUGCGACCUCGAUGUUGGAUUAAGAAAUUAGCAAGGUGCAGAAGUUUUGCUGGAAAGUCUGUUCGACUUUUAAAAUCUUACAU